rnacentral:rRNA from 1 species
AAUCAACGCUGGCGGCGUGCCUAACACAUGCAAGUCGCACGAGAAAGGGUCUUCGGAUCUGAGUAAAGUGGCGCACGGGUGAGUAACACGUGAAUUAUCUACCUUCGAGUGGGGAAUAACUUCGGGAAACCGAGGCUAAUACCGCAUAAUAUCUACGGAUCAAAGCAGUAAUGCGCUUGAAGAGGAGUUCGCGGCAGAUUAGUUAGUUGGCGGGGUAAUGGCCCACCAAGACGAUGAUCUGUAUCCGGCCUGAGAGGGCGCACGGACACGCUGGGACUGAAGCACGCUCCAGAUUCCGCCGGGAGGCAGCAGUGGGGAAUUUUGCGCAAUGGGGGAAACCCUGACGCAGCGACGCCGCGUGGAAGAUGAAGUCUCUUGGGACGUAAACUCCUUUCGAAAGGGCAGAUUAUGACGGUACCUAUAGAAGAAGCCCCGGCUAACUUCGUGCCAGCCGCCGCCGUAA